UUGUGCAAAGGGUCACCUGUACAUAUCUACUUAGUACCAAGAGCAAUCCUCAGGGUUCUUCCCUCCCAGAUGAGUUGUUCUUACAAAGAAGAUUCAUCUGGAAAGCCCUCAUUCAGUCACCUGUAAGAGCUGAAUGUAGACAAUGACUAAAUGUGGAUUUUUUUAAUACAUUUUCAAAAGAUCCCCUUUAUAGUCUCCGAUUUUGAGAUGCCUACCAUCCUAUGAGAUAAAUAGAGAAGGUACAAUGUGGCUUUCUGUGUGUUCUGUUUUUAUUUUAGUUACCUGUAUUACCUGGGCUGAUGUAGAAGACAAUUGAAUUGCCAAUUGAAUUGGCAAAAAGAGUAUUAACUUUGAAUUCAGAACACAGUCUGAAGCCAUGUGUUACAGAAAUAAGUGUAAUACUAAGUUUGGCAAAUAAAAUCACUUAGCAUGGGGAUUCCUGGGUGGCUCAGUUGGUUAAGCAGCUGCCUUCGGCUCAGGUCAUGAUCCCAGCGUCCUGGGAUGGAGUCCCACGUCGGGCUCCUUGCUCCGCAGGGAGCCUGCUUCUCGCUCUGACUCUGCCUGCCACUCUGUCUGCCUGUGCUCGCUCUCAUUCUCUCUCUCUCUCUCUGACAAAUAAAUAAAUAAAAUCUUUUUUAAAAAAUCACUUAGCAUAUUCUGCAGGAGCUUAUUUAAAGAAAUCCAUAAUUGGGGCACUUGGCUGGCUCAGUCAGAAGUUAAAGCAUAUGACUCUUGAUCUCAGGGUCAUGAGUUUGAGCCUCAUGUUGAGAAGAGAUCGCUUUUUUUUUAAAUCCAUAAUUAUCUUUUGUGCAUAUUUGGAUCAUCAGAAUGGUAUAGCAGGGACAUGGGGAUGGAAUUCUGAAAGUGUGGAUAGCACUGUGGGUGUGAGGAGUACAACAUAAAAAGUUGAAGCUAUAGAAAGGGCGAAGUAUUACACUUUCUGGACUGAAAUCUUACCAUGUAGGCAUUGGAAGUACUUCAAGCAAGGACUUGUGAAAGCUCACUCUGGCUCCUACAUGGACGGCUAGAUUUGUGGGCGUCAAGAAGAGAAGACUGAUGCGGUUGUCUCAGAGAUGGGGAGACCCUGAAUGAGGAGGGUGAUGGGGGCUGGAAGAUCAGAGAGGCGGUGGAUGUAUUUAGGAAAUAAAAAGAGCAGGACUUGGGGUGCCUGGGUGGCUCAGUGGGUUGAGCCGCUGCCUUCGGCUUGGGUCAUGAUCUCAGGGUCCUGGGAUCGAGUCCCACGUCGGGCUCUCUGCUCAGCGGGGAGCCUGCUUCCCUCUCUCCCUCUCUCUCUGCCUGCCUCUCCAUCUACUUGUGUUUUCUCUCUGUCAAAUAAAUAAAUAAAAUCUAAAAAAAAAAAAAAAAAAAAAAAAACGCAGGACUUGACUGUUGACUGAAUGAGGUCACGGAAGACGAGAGGCAUCAAGGACAGCUAUUCCGCUUCUCUGCUCCUGCCCACUAGGGUUAAUCACGUGGAGGUGAGGCUCUCUGGGAUGUUCGGGGAUGUCCAGACGGUGGGAGUAUGACACCUUCCGUGGGAGGCUUUGGGCUGAGGCCACAGUUGGGACUCCUCAGCAUGUCAGCUGUUGAGUGAGCAGCACAGAGCCGAAGCAAGGACCUUGGAGACUUAGAAACGUUUAAGAUGCAGCAGGAGGACAGUGAGUUUGUGGAGGAGACAGAAGAAAUGCUUAGAGAAGGCUGGGAAGAAUCCAGGAACCAGCAGUUAAGAGAGUUUCAAGCAGGACAAAGCAGCACGUGAAAUGCAGCGCGAAAAGCUACUGCUCCUGCCUUUCGGAAUGUAAAGGGUGCCCUUGAGGGAGAGUAGUUUCAGAACGAACGAGAGCAAAGCCAGUCACAGUGAGAAAUGCGUGAGUGCGAAUGAGAAGCGAAUGGGACUCUGUCGGGGAGUGAGGCCAGGCAGGAAAGGCCGGCAGCGGACGGAAAUGCUGAGCAGGGAAGCCGGGUGACGGCGGCCCGCCACGCCGCAUUUAAGAGUUCGGUUGGGCUUGAACUAGGUAUGAAACACUCGGGUUUGUGGGUCAGAAGUACCCCUCACUGGCUACACCGGGGGGAACCGUGAUGAUGCCCAAACGCACGCUCGGGUCAUUUCUGUCCAGCAGGGCCCGAGCGCAGCGGAGCAGGGCGUCCCCGCGCCAGGACCGGCAGCUGGGGGAGGGGCGCGUCGCUGCGCUAGCGGGAGAGACCAGGGAAGGACCACGGUUCGGAGGCCUCCGCGAAGUGGAAAAGCAAGUGUAACGGCAGCGGCCGGCAUGGAAUAAAGGGGCGACAAGUCAGAGGAAGGAACGUGUGGGGUUUCUGAGGUGGAGUGGUUCUGGAAAUGAGGUGUAAGUGUGCGACCACGGAAUGGAUUAGUCCGGCGGAGCGGCGGUGUUGGCACUGGGGAGGUCAAGAAAGCUGCAUUCCGCGCUCCUCUCCCGCGCUUACGACACUGGACCCUGGGACGCCUGGGUGGCUCAGUCAGUGAAGUGGCUGCCUUCGGCUCAGGUAGUGAAUCCAGGGUCUUGGGAUCGAGCCCCACAUCGGGCUCCCUGCUCAGCGGGGAGCCGCUUCUCCCUCUGCCCGCCACUCCCCUGCUUGUGCUCGCUCGCUCUCUGACAAGUUUACUAUAUGGAUAUUCCCCAGAAGACUUCCACUUCCACCUAUGACAGAGGACCCGCUACCUGACUCACCUGCCUGUCUCAACCAUAAAGCUGGCAGAUGUGGGACAAUCUGCAGCACAAAACAGUGGUCCUGGAGAGAAGGGCAACUCACGAGGAAGUCAGCUUGUGAAGGCCUCGGUGCCUGCUUGAGGACAGUACUCUGAUGACCGCAACAUAACGAGCUAGAUUCCAAGCAUGCCACUGUGGUCCGACUCAGCUGAAGAGGCAGAGUUCAGGGCCAUCAGUGGCAGGAAUCUGCCAGGUAGGGCCACAGGGGGAAGGAAGCUGCACAGAGGAGCCUGAGCUUCUCUGGGGAGAAGCCUGUGUGCGGACAGGGUUGAGCUGCUCAUAUUAGUACCAGUGUACCUGAGGAAGACCAGAGAGUACUGACCACAAGGUCGAGAGCCAACAGACCUACCAGAGGUGGAGCCCGGCUGCGGGGGUGAGGCCAGCCCAGCCAGAGUGGAGACCUUGCUGGUACCUCAGUAAUACUCCAGACAUCCAAUCAAGACACCAGAAAGACGCAUCUUAGAAGAAAAGAUCUUACCCUAGAAUAAGAGCUACGAAAAACACCCUUCCGAUGAGGGUAAAACCUAUAGUCCGUCAACGAAACCUGAGAGAAUUGCCAGAAGAUCUGUACUAUAGGAAAUGCUAAUGAACUUGAGGCUGAAGGGAACUGCUAGAUAGAAAUUUGGAUCUACAGGAAGAAAUGAAAAAGUACUGGAAAUGAUAAUUGCCUUAAAAGGCAACUGAAUGUUUACAUCAGAAUAGGAGCAGGUAAAAGGGAUUAUACUACUGUAAAACCGCGUUACUUCUGAAGUGGUGUGAAAUGUCGAGUUGGGAAAACUGCACGUACUCGCUGCUAAUCCCAUCGCCCCGAUCCUGCACACUUACUGGGUUGCUCCUUGGGCAGAAAGGGUCAUGCUCUCGCCCUCUCCUCUCCGCCAGCUGGUGUUCCGUUUUGGACUUCUUCACCAAUCAUCUACUCCUGGAAUACCUCAAACACUUCCAAAACAUGCCACAGAGAUGACUUCUAAACAGCUGCCCUUGAGGAUCUGCCCCCACUUCCGUGUCCACACCGUACUUCCCCCCGGCUGACCUGAGCUAACGACUGGGCAUGCGGGCAUGUUAUGGCUGGCCCACUCCUGCAAGACACAGGACUCCUGUGAUGGGCCUCGUUGAUGGAUGUCUCACCGCUGACCCCGCUGAAACGUCCCUAGAACACCGUAUUGCAACACUGCACUUGCUCGACCCUCUCCCCUCCUCCUUCCCUCUCCUCCACAGGGUGUGAUAAUACACUGUGAUCUCAUGCUUCCCCCACUUCUAUGUUUCCCCCCCCCUUUCCCCUCACAGGCCUUUCUCCCAAUAAAUGUCUUGCACAUGCCUUCUGCUUCUCAGAUGACAUGAACAGACACAAGUAGUACUAAAGAAUGGUCCAUGAAAACAGGUGGUGUGAGGCAGGGAUUUGAAACAGACUCAUUACCCAGCACGAAAGGAGAACAUCAUCCGGAAAGGAAGGUCACUGGUACAAACGAUGUGGUUUACACUGAAAACCUGCUUUUCCUUCUGGAAAUGUGGAUUUGGAAUGUGCUAGGAAGAGGCUGCCUACUCAACCAGUCCCCAAGAAAAACUCUGGGAACUGAGGCUCUAUAAAUGAGUGUCUGUGGUGGACAUUAUCUCAUGUGUGCUGUCACAAACUGCCGCUGAAGGAACUGUGUCCUGUUGAGACCACACUAGGAGAGGUUUCUUAGGAACCUGUGCCUGGUUUCCCUCAGGAUUCGCUGCAUGCACUCCAUUCCCCUUGCUGGUUUUCUUUGAAUUCUCUUGUAAUAAAUUGUGAGUAUGACUCUGUGAGUUCUCUAAAUCCUCCCAGUCAAUCCGUGGACUUAAGGUGAUCCUGGGGACCCCUAACACAGGAUCAAAUCCACACUGGGACUGUAGUCUGACAGCUGUCCCCAAUUCCUCUGGCUCGUGCCCCUUUCUCCCUCACAGGUGUUUCCCCAAAUAAAUCUCUAGCUCACCUAAAUCUCAUUUUAGCAUUUGCUUCUGGGAUGACCUAAAUCUAAUGUGCCAAUAAAUAUUACUGAAUAUUCUCCUAACACCUUAUAACAACUGAAACUACAUUCUCUAUCUUGCCAAAGAAAUCCCCAUCAACUCAGUCACUCAAAUAGAAAAUCAUUCUCACUUCCUCCAGGUUUACUCACGAUUAUUACCCCACAUGCUCCAUUCUGAACCCCUUCAUCUUUAGACUACUAAGUAAGACCUCCCGUUGGCUCCCAUUUCUAGUUUAAAGCCCUUUGCUGACCGCUUACUGCUUACAGAUAAGAAAUGGGUGCCUUUGGUCCCGAAUCUACAGCCAGCACACCCAGCCAGACCCUCUCUCUCCUUCUACGACAUAACUCCAGUCACAUCUAACUCCCAGCCCACUUCUGAUCAUCACUCCUUGGUAUUUUAUAUUCUUGCUGUCUCAAAUACCCUUUCUAUUAUUUAUAAGCAACACGAAUUUCUAUUUGUGCUUUGAAAUACAGCUCAAACACAGUA